rnacentral:rRNA from 1 species
GGAGUAUCGACCCUCUCUGUGCCGAAGCUAACGCUUUAAGCACCCCGCCUGGGGAGUACGGUCGCAAGACUAAAACUCAAAGGAAUUGACGGGUGCCCGCACAAGCAGCGGAGCGUGUGGUUUAAUUCGAUGCAACACGAAGAACCUUACCAGGGUUUGACAUGUUGGAAGUAGUGAACCGAAAGGGAAACG